AUGCGCCUCCGUCCCAAGGUCCACGCGAGUGAGGAGGCAUCCACAGUGAUCCGCAGCAAUCGCCACAUCUCGCCUGCGAGGCUGGCCUCGCCGCUUGAAGACGACAAUCUCUUGAGGGAGAUUUUGCUCCGUCUCCCGCCGCGACCAUCCUCCCUGCCCCGCGCCUCCGCUGUCUGCAAGCGAUGGCAACGCGCCAGCACCGACCCAAGGUUCCACCGCCAGUUCCAUGAAUACCACCAAAAGCCACCCCUCCUCGGUUUCUUCGAGGAUAACAUGGAUGGUAUCAUGUUCAGACCAAUCCUGGACCAUCCUGAUCGUAUCCCUUCACAAUGCUUCGACCUGCGAGCCCACGUCAUUGACAAUGGCAACCUCUCGAGGUUCCAACUCCUUGGGUGCCGCCACGGCCGCCUUCUCAUCAUGCGCCCACUGCAGCAGGAUCUUAUUGUCAUUGCCCCCAUCACCGACGAGGAGUGUCGUGUGUCCAUUCCUCCGGAGUUCAAUAAACGCUAUGUCAACGGCGCAGUGCUCUAUGCGGCUGCUGACCACGGCCAUGUGCAUGGAAGCUGCCACUUGAGCCCAUUCAAGGUGGUCUUGCUCUCCACCAGCACCUACUACAGUGGUCCACAACUCGUUUUGGCAUCUGUUUACUCUUCGGAGGCUGGCAUAUGGGGCGACGUCAUCUCAACACCGACUCCAUGUGAGCUUCGUGGUGCCAGUAUUCAUGGGUCGCUAGUUGGUAAUGCACUUUACUGGUUGUUUGAAGACUACAUGAUUGAGUUUCAUUUGGAUGGACACAUCCUAGCUUUGAUCGAUGUGCCUCCCACAAUAAAUGAGGCCCGUCGCUUUUUGACAUGCAUGAGGUCAUCCAGAUCAUGGAUGGCGUUGUUAGUAUCGCCAUAUUGUCUCACUAUGACCAUAACAUUCAAAUGUGGCAAAGGAAGGUUAAUUGUCCGGGUGUUACCAAAUGGGAGUUGUGGAAGACCAUUGAUAUGCGUAACAUUGAUGGGAUCCCCCCAUGGGGUUAAAGGAGAGAGGCAAGGGUUGUUAUUUAGACUGAGAUAUACUGAGGAUAGUGAUGAUAUAAUUCUAUAUGUGGGCCCCAAUGUCUAUAUAAUUCAACUUAAGUCGAUGCAAUCGAAGAAACUUUGUGGAACCCGUCAUGUUAGUGGUCAUCAUUCAUUCAAGAGUUUCUGUAUGCCAGGUGAUUGUUCUUCAUUAGUCCUCGCAUCGUAG
rnacentral:rRNA from 1 species